rnacentral:rRNA from 1 species
AGAGUUUGAUCCUGGCUCAGGAUGAACGCUGGCGGCGUGCCUAACACAUGCAAGUCGAACGUGAGGGGGUAGCAAUAUCCUUGAAAGUGGCGGCACGGGUGAGUAAGACGUAGGUGACCUGCCCUGGAGUGGGGGGAUAACAGCUAGAAAUGGCUGCUAAUACCGCAUAUUGCCGAGACAUUGGGAAAUGACUUGGUAAAAACUCUGGUGCUUCAGGAGGGGCCUGCGGCCGAUUAGCUAGUUGGCGGGGUAAGAGCCCACCAAGGCAGUGAUCGGUAGCUGGUCUGAGAGGACGAUCAGCCACACGGGAACUGAGACACGGUCCCGACUCCUACGGGGGGCAGCAGUGAGGAAUAUUGGGGCCAAUGGGCGGAAGCCUGACCCAGCAACGCCGCGUGGAGGAAGACGGCCUUCGGGUUGUAAACUCCUUUUACGGGGGAAGAGGAAGGACGGUACCCCGAGAAUAAGUCACGGCUAACUACGUGCCAGCCGCCGC